GGGAAUCUUGCGCAAUGGUCGAAAGACUGACGCAGCGACGCCGCGUGGGGGAGGAAGGUCUUCGGAUUGUAAACCCCUGUCACCGGGGAAGAAAUCCAUGGGGGAGGAAAUGCCCCUGCGGUUGACGGUACCCGGGGAGGAAGCACCGGCUAACUCUGUGCCAGCAGCCGCGGUAAUACAGAGGGUGCGAGCGUUGUUCGGAAUUACUGGGCGUAAAGCGCGCGCAGGCGGCUCUUUAAGUCUAUGGGUGAAAGACCGGGGCUCAACCCCGUGUCAGCCCGGGAUACUGGGGAGCUAGGGACAUGUAGGGGCGAGCGGAAUUCCGGGUGUAGCGGUGGAAUGCGUAGAGAUCCGGAAGAACACCGGGGGCGAAGGCGGCUCGCUGGGCAUGGUCCGACGCUGAGGCGCGAAAGCGUGGGGAGCGAA
rnacentral:rRNA from 1 species